rnacentral:rRNA from 1 species
UACGAAGGGGGCUAGCGUUGCUCGGAAUCACUGGGCGUAAAGGGCGCGUAGGCGGGCGCACAAGUCAGGGGUGAAAGCCCACGGCUCAACCGUGGAAGAGCCUUUGAUACUGUGUGUCUUGAGGGAGGUAGGGGCGUGCGGAACUUCCGGUGGAGCGGUGAAAUGCGUAGAUAUCGGAAGGAACACCGGUGGCGAAAGCGGCGCGCUGGACCUCUUCUGACGCUGAGGCGCGAAAGCCAGGGGAGCAAACGGG